rnacentral:rRNA from 1 species
AGUGGAUGGGGAGCAACCUAGUUGUGCGUGUGUAAAGGUAGUGCCAAGAAAAGCGAUGAUCAUGUUGAAAAUCAAUUCCCGGUACCCGAAACCGACACAGGUGGGCAAGUAGAGAAUACUAAGGGGCGCGAGGUAACUCUCUCCAAGGAACUCGGCAAAAUGACCCCGUAACUUAGGGAGAAGGGGUGCCACCGAGAGGUGGUCGCAGUGAAGAGGCCCAGGCGACUGUUUAGCAAAAACAUAGGUCUCUGCAAACUCGAAAGAGGAGGUAUAGGGGCUGACGCCUGCCCAGUGCCGGAAGGUUAAAGAAGUUGGUCAGUUUUAGGAUGAAGCUAGCGACUGAAGCCCCGGUGAACGGCGGCCGUAACUAUAACGGUCCUAAGGUAACGAAAUUCCUUGUCGGGUAAGUUCCGACCCGCACGAAAGGCGUAACGAUCUGGGCGCUGUCUCGGAGAGAGGCUCGGCGAAAUAGGAUUGUCUGUGAAGAUACGGACUACCUGCAUUUGGACAGAAAGACCCUAUGAAGCUUUACUAUAGCUUGGAAUUGUGUUCGGGCUUCCUGUGCGCAGGAUAGGUGGGAGGCGUAGAAGGUAUUCUUGUGGGGAUACUGGAGCCAACGGUGAGAUACCACUCUCAGGAGGCUAGAAUUCUAACUUAGUUAAGGACAGUUUCAGGUGUAGUUUGACUGGGGCGGUCGCCUCCAAAAAGGUAACGGAGGCGUACAAAGGUUCCCUCAGACUGGUUGGAAAUCAGUCGAAGAGUGCAAAGGCAGAAGGGAGCUUGACUGCGAGAAGUACAGUUCGAGCAGGGUGGAAACACGGUCUUAGUGAUCCGACGGUGCUGUGUGGGAGGGCCGUCGCUCAACGGAUAAAAGUUACUCUAAGGAUAACAGGCUGAUCUCCCCCAAGAGUUCACAUCGACGGGGAGGUUUGGCACCUCGAUGUCGGCUCAUCGCAACCUGGGGCGGAAGUACGUCCCAAGGGUUGGGCUGUUCGCCCAUUAAAGCGGUACGUGAGCUGGGUUCAGAACGUCGUGAGACAGUUCGGUCCAUAUCCGAUGUAGGCGUGAGAAUAUUGAGAGGAGCCUUCCUUAGUACGAGAGGACCGGGAAGGACGCACCGCUGGUGUACCUGUUAUGAUGCCAAUUGUAAACGCAGGGUAGCCAAGUGCGGAGAGGAUAACCGCUGAAAGCAUCUAAGUGGGAAGCCCACCUCAAGAUGAGUAUUCUGGUGUAAGGUCACGGGAAGACGACCCGUAAAUAGGCACGAGGUGGAAGUGCAGAGAUGUAUGAAGCCGAAGUGUACUAAUAGACCGUCGGCUUGACC